CAGUUCGGAUUGUAGGCUGCAACUCGCCUACAUGAAGUUGGAAUCGCUAGUAAUCGCGAAUCAGAAUGUCGCGGUGAAUACGUUCCCGGGUCUUGUACACACCGCCCGUCACACCACGAGAGUUUACAACACCCGAAGUCAGUGGCCUAACCGCAAGGAGGGAGCUGCCUAAGGUGGGGUAGAUGAUUGGGGUGAAGUCGUAACAAGGUAUC
rnacentral:rRNA from 1 species